GAUAUGGAGAAGCCUUGGUUUUCACAUGAAGGGGACAGAAUUGUAGUUUUUGCUGAUGUUCCCCAUUUAAUCAAACUGCAAAGGAAUCAUUUUUUUGAUCACGGAUUCCUCAUAAAUGGAAAAGUAAUUAAAAAGGACAUAAUUUAAAAACUUCUUGCGUUUACUUCCAGUGAUCUGUCAAUCACCCACAAAAUUUCAAAAAAGCAUUUGCUUGUUACGGGAGCAGAAAGGCAAAAGGUUAAACUAGCUACAAAAUUAUUCUCGCACACCAUUGCUCAAGCCAUAUCACGAGCAGCUAGUUUGGGCUUAUUAGAGGACGAGAAUUGGGAAGAAUGCUUUAAACUUUUUAAAAUUACGAAUGACUGGUUUGACAUUAUGAAUGUCAGAGUGCCCAAAGAAGGAGUAAGGGAGCGACUACAUGCCUAUGGUUUGGCUUUAAAUACCCAGAAUAAUAUUUUAGAACAAAUGACCGCGAUGGUUUCAGCGAUGAGAGUUGUUGGAAAAAAUACUCUGCUACCAUUCC